CACAAGGGAGUUGCUGGCCUCGGCGGCUCGUCCGGUCAACAUUUUGCUUUGUGGAAAACUAGGGCUCCUACCACUGGACUCAGCUCAACCAGUGCUCAGUGGUCACACUCGGUGUGCUUAGCACUUCUAGAGGCAGCGGAAGAAAUCAACGUGAAGAUGACCUCGAUCUUCCUGAAGCAAGGAUUCAAGGUAUGUGGACACAUUUCAGGCAUAUAACCAUGCACCUGCAUGAACCCUGUUUGCUUUUUUAGUUUUUGUUCCUGAACAAAGUCUUAUGAAUUUUCCAAGUAAAUUUUCUAUUGCAGCAGCAUUCCUAGGAAACCACUCACUGCGGCCAGCAUGUCCUGCUGCAGCCCAGCUCCAUUCCUGUCCUUCUGUGGGCUCCCGUAGGGCGGGGCUGAAGCAUGGAAACUACGCCCGGCACUGGUCUGCUGGCUGGCUCAUCUUCAGUAGAGAGAAUCAACACUUCACCGUGUUUCUUCCUUUGAAUCACACAUUUUGUCUACACAUCUGAUCUCCAGCAGGCUUUUGAAGUCAGUCCUGGGGACUUUAAGCCACAGGAUCAAGACUCCUUAAGCAAAAAGUUGGUUUUGUUUUCAAGAGGAACGUCUAGGCUCCUGGGUGAGUCAUUUUCUUAGUGACUGUUCAGAAAAUUGAGCAGGGUGGGUCUUGGUCCACCCGUCACCUGAGCGUCCACGUGAAACGCGGCUGUAACGCUUCGCGAGGUUGUUAGGAUGAGCGGGAAGCGGG
rnacentral:lncRNA from 1 species